rnacentral:rRNA from 1 species
AGAGUUUGAUCCUGGCUCAGAGCGAACGCUGGCGGCGUGCUUAACACAUGCAAGUCGAACGCGCAGCAUUCUGUAGCAAUACAGGGUGUGGGCGCGUGGCGAACGGGUGCGUAACACGUGGAUAACCUUCCUUGAGGUGGGGAAUAACCCAGUGAAAAUUGGGCUAAUACCGCAUAACAUCGCGAUGGCACAUGCUGAUGCGAUCAAAGGCGCAAGUCGCCACAAGAGGGAUCCGCGGCCGAUUAGCUAGUUGGCGAGGUAAUGGCUCACCAAGGCAAUGAUCGGUAGCCGGACUGAGAGGUUGGCCGGCCACACUGGAACUGAGACACGGUCCAGACUCCUACGGGAGGCAGCAGUGGGGAAUCUUGCACAAUGGACGAAAGUCUGAUGCAGCAACGCCGCGUGGGGGAUGAAGCUUCUCGGAGUGUAAACCCCUUUCGACCCGGAAGAAUGCCCGCAAGGGUAUGACGGUACGGGUAUAAGAAGCCCCGGCUAACUACGUGCCAGCAGCCGCGGUAAUACGUAGGGGGCCAGCGUUGCUCGGAAUUACUGGGCGUAAAGGGUCCGUAGGCGGUGUAGCAAGUCGAUAGUGAAAUCUCUGCGCUUAACGCAGAGGCUGCUAACGAAACUGCUGUGCUAGAGUGUGAGAGAGGCGAGUGGAAUUACGGGUGUAGCGGUGAAAUGCGUAGAUAUCCGUAGGAACAUCCGAGGCGAAGGCGGCUCGCUGGAUCACAACUGACGCUGAGGGACGAAAGCUAGGGGAGCAAACAGGAUUAGAUACCCUGGUAGUCCUAGCCCUAAACCAUCACGACUUGGGGUUUGCCCUGUACGGGGCAAGUCCCGUAGCUAACGCGUUAAGUCCUGCGCCUGGGGAGUACGGUCGCAAGGCUGAAACUCAAAGGAAUUGACGGGGGCCCGCACAAGCGGUGGAACAUGUGU